UACAGGGGGGGCAAGCGUUGUUCGGAAUUACUGGGCGUAAAGGGCUCGUAGGUGGCCAACUAAGUCAGACGUGAAAUCCCUCAGCUUAACUGGGGAACUGCGUCUGAUACUGGAUGGCUUGAGUUUGGGAGAGGGAUGCGGAAUUCCAGGUGUAGCGGUGAAAUGCGUAGAUAUCGUAAGGAAGACCAGUGGCGAAGGCGGGUCUCUGGACAGUUCCUGACGCUGAGGCACGAAGGUCAGGGGAGCAAACGGG
rnacentral:rRNA from 1 species